GAGCCCGCCCUCCGCAGCAGGAGGGGCGGCGGAGGGAGGCGGGCUGGGAGGGAGCACGGAUGCCAGGGACGGAAGAGCCCCACCGUCCCCCGCUGCUGCCCGGAAGGCCCGGCAACACUGGGCAGCCUGGAAGAGGAUCCAAACUGGAAGGGACCUGUCGUCCAUGUACCUGAGAUCUAAAAACUGCAACACAUAUGCAAGACUAACCAAAUUUGAUAAUGGCAGAAGCCCUCAGACAAAUUCUUGUAAGACCACUCCAAGACGACCCAGAUUCAGCUAUUCCUAUUGAGAAGCACCCCUCCAAAAUGCUCCACAAUGUGAUUUACUUGCAUCUUAAUUCUGGUGGAACAAGAAAGCAGAUUUACCUUUUAAUUCCUCCACAUCUUUCAUGGUUUGGACUGGUAAACCUCCUGUAAAGAGAGCACCUUGCCUCGAGUGAGAAGAAGCUGUUCUGAACCAGUCUGGCAUUCAGGUUCCUUUCUGAUCAAAAGCAAUGAGGACUGGUUUCAAAGUGACAAAGCAGAAAAACAAAACGGGCAAAGAGUUUAUUCUCCCUAGAAAACAAAUCACAGUACAGUUAGAGCCUUGUGACUCCCUUGCCUGUUUCUCUACAGUACCUGCAAUAUACAAGAAACCAUUUCAAAGGGAGUUAGUGCCUUCUAAAAUAUUCAUAAAGAGUCUUUACUACCUGACCAAGAUACAGACAGCAUUUAUAUCAGAGCCAGGGAACAUUCCAUCUCCCAAAGGUAAUAAAAAUAAAGUUUACCAGAAAACAA